GAUGAACGCUAGCUACAGGCUUAACACAUGCAAGUCGAGGGGAAACGGCAUUAAGUGCUUGCACUUUUUGGACGUCGACCGGCGCACGGGUGAGUAACGCGUAUCCAACCUUCCCAUGACUAAGGGAUAACCUGCCGAAAGGCAGACUAAUACCUUAUGGUCUUCACUGACGGCAUCAGAUGUGAAGUAAAGAUUUAUCGGUUAUGGAUGGGGAUGCGUCUGAUUAGCUUGUUGGCGGGGUAACGGCCCACCAAGGCAACGAUCAGUAGGGGUUCUGAGAGGAAGGUCCCCCACAUUGGAACUGAGACACGGUCCAAACUCCUACGGGAGGCAGCAGUGAGGAAUAUUGGUCAAUGGGCGAGAGCCUGAACCAGCCAAGUAGCGUGCAGGAAGACGGCCCUAUGGGUUGUAAACUGCUUUUGUAUGGGGAUAAAGUCAGUCACGUGUGAUUGUUUGCAG
rnacentral:rRNA from 1 species